rnacentral:rRNA from 1 species
UAAUACCGGAUGGUUGUUUGAACCGCAUGGUUCAGACAUAAAAGGUGGCUUCGGCUACCACUUACAGAUGGACCCGCGGCGCAUUAGCUAGUUGGUGAGGUAACGGCUCACCAAGGCGACGAUGCGUAGCCGACCUGAGAGGGUGAUCGGCCACACUGGGACUGAGACACGGCCCAGACUCCUACGGGAGGCCGCAGUAGGGAAUCUUCCGCAAUGGACGAAAGUCUGACGGAGCAACGCCGCGUGAGUGAUGAAGGUUUUCGGAUCGUAAAGCUCUGUUGUUAGGGAAGAACAAGUGCCGUUCAAAUAGGGCGGCACCUUGACGGUACCUAACCAGAAAGCCACGGCUAACUACGUGCCAGCAGCCGCGGUAAUACGUAGGUGGCAAGCGUUGUCCGGAAUUAUUGGGCGUAAAGGGCUCGCAGGCGGUUUCUUAAGUCUGAUGUGAAAGCCCCCGGCUCAACCGGGGAGGGUCAUUGGAAACUGGGGAACUUGAGUGCAGAAGAGGAGAGUGGAAUUCCACGUGUAGCGGUGAAAUGCGUAGAGAUGUGGAGGAACAC